rnacentral:lncRNA from 1 species
AGAUAAUUGAUUUAUGACAUGUUGUCUGACGAUCGACUGCUGAAUUCUUGGUUUGUGUUUGGCCUUUGUGCAGAUAUCUGGUGGCUGCGCUUUCGGUCACUGGUUUGUACAGCAUCAUCACCAUGUUGGUUUCCUUGUUUUCCAUCGCAAGCCCCUCUCCAUCACCAAAGACGCUGUUCCUUCUCAUCCUCUUCGACACGGUAGACUAACUAACUUUAGUUUGUGGUGGUGUUGGAUCCAUAUCGACCACUUGGAUAUAAACUUUUAUAUGGUGACAUGAAGCAGCCAUGUAUGACGACGUUGCUUCUCUUUUGACAGCUGAUGGCCGGAGUGAUGGCUUCAGCCACCGGCAACGCGGGAUCCGUCGCCUACAUAGGUCUGAAGGGCAACUCUCAUGUGAAUUGGAACAAGAUCUGCAACAUGUAUGGGAAGUUCUGCCGGCACGUAGGCAGCUCCACGGCCGUCUCCCUCAUCGCCUCCAUCGUCCUCGUCUUGCUCGUCGUGCUCUCCUCCUAUUCUCUCUACCGUCGCAGUCGCUAAUGAUAGUUAACGCGUCCACCUUCUCUCUUUAGCAGGUAGAGUUUGGUGUCACGUUUAGUGGUGUGUAAUCCAUUCACAUGGUCUUGUCGCCGUCGUCGUCGUUCGUCUUGU